rnacentral:misc_RNA from 1 species
CCCAAGUUUCUAUUUCUGGCCCUAUUUGCCAAAUAGAAGCAGUUUUCUUUUCUGGUCUCCCAAGUUUGGGGUUUUUUAGGUCGAAAUUUCCACAUCUAUGCUUUUCUGCAAAAAGAGAGUAUUUUGAUUAACAUACCUCCAAAUAUACGUAUUGAUUGGAUCUCAAUCCACAGAGAGAAGAGGAAGAUUCUUGUACGAAUUAACCUAUUUGCAUUUCUGGGGCAUCCAUCAUCGACAUGGACGACGCUAAUGUGGUGGAAGCUAAGGAUGGAACCAUCUCUGUGGCCACUGCAUUUGUUGGUCAUCAAGAAGCUGUGCAGGAUAGAGAUCACAAAUUCUUAACUAAAGCAGUCGAAGAAGCUUAUAAAGGAGUAGAAUGUGGGGAUGGUGGUCCUUUUGGUGCUGUUGUGGUACAUAAUGAUGAGGUGAUUGUCAGUUGUCACAACUUGGUUUUGAGGAAUACAGAUCCUACUGCCCAUGCAGAGGUUACUGCAAUAAGGGAGGCAUGUAAAAAACUUGGUAAGAUUGAGCUUUCUGACUGUGAAUUGUAUGCCUCUUGUGAGCCAUGCCCAAUGUGCUUCGGUGCUGUCCACCUUUCAAGAAUUAAGGUGUAUUAUGCUUUUAUUUAGUUGUGCCCUAUGUUUCUUGUCUUCAUGGUUUAAGGCAUAACAGUUUGUAGUGUUUUGUUGUCAGAGGUUGGUUUAUGGAGCCAAGGCUGAAGCAGCUAUUGCCAUUGGCUUUGAUGAUUUUAUUGCGGAUGCAUUGCGAGGUACUGCCCACUAUCAAAAGGCUAAUUUGGAGAUUAUAAGGGCAGAUGGUAAUGGGGCCAUUAUUGCCGAACAGGUCUUUGAGAAAACAAAGGAAAAAUUUCGGAUGUAUUGAUCUUUUUAGUCACCUCUUUCAUUGGACGGUACUGACUUUGCUUCCAUUCUGAACUGUAAGCAUCUUUUUAAUGCGAUCAUUUAAUAAUGACCUGCACUUUAUCCAAUAUUAAAGAUUGAUAUCCUCUGCUGUGGGGAAUCUGGACUGUCUUCGUGUUCUUUUUCAAUUCAAUGGAGAUAGCUGAACCUUACCAUGAAAGAUUCAUGUUUAAUAAUGUGAUGUGUUAUUUCACAUUCACUGUCUGAAGUGGCAGCGGAAUCCUAAAUGAAAGAUUUACUUUGUAUUUGCAUAACAUUCUGCUUUCCCUCUUAU